UGCACGGCUUUAAUAAAAGCCAUAACAAACAUCCAUAAAACAUCCAU
rfam:Oreochromis niloticus linkage group LG8-24, whole genome shotgun sequence.